ACUCCUACGGGAGGCAGCAGUGGGGAAUAUUGGACAAUGGGCGAAAGCCUGAUCCAGCCAUGCCGCGUGUGUGAAGAAGGUCUUCGGAUUGUAAAGCACUUUAAGUUGGGAGGAAGGGCAGUAAGUUAAUACCUUGCUGUUUUGACGUUACCGACAGAAUAAGCACCGGCUAACUCUGUGCCAGCAGCCGCGGUAAUACAGAGGGUGCAAGCGUUAAUCGGAAUUACUGGGCGUAAAGCGCGCGUAGGUGGUUUGUUAAGUGGGGAUGUGAAAGCCCCGGGGCUCAACCUGGGAACUGCAUCCAAAACUGGCAAGCUAGAGUACGGUAGAGGGUGGUGGAAUUUCCUGUGUAGCGGUGAAAUGCGUAGAUAUAGGAAGGAACACCAGUGGCGAAGGCGACCACCUGGACUGAUACUGACACUGAGGUGCGAAAGCGUGGGGAGCAAACAGGAUUAGAUA
rnacentral:rRNA from 1 species